GGAUGUGAGGGCGAUCUGGCUGCAACAACUGUCAGCCCUUUUAUCAUCAGGGUUGCUUUGGCUGAUCUGGCUGGCUCUGCGUGUGUCCCCUUCCGCCCUCACCGCUCCAAGUUUGUGUCUCUCAAAGCUGCACGCUCAGUGGCAGAGGGCGACCACACCUGAUAGUAGCUGAGCCCCCAUG
rnacentral:snRNA from 1 species